rnacentral:lncRNA from 1 species
GUUAUGGUUCCCACCCUAGUGCAAGACAAGUUCUUCUUCCUCCCAUUGAAUCAAGAACUCAAUCAAUCCAUUGUCUUGCAAAUAGGGUGGAAAAUCAUAAGCCAAAUUUUGAUAAUUGUCAUAACAAUUGUGAACCUUUUCAUAUAUUGUUGAGUAUUGUGGAUACAUUCUUGUGGGGACAAAUAUACUUCAAGAAACUUGAAGGAAGGCUAAAGGAGUUCACAACAAAGGACAAUCGAGGCUCAACAUUUCCACAUAUGGAUUCAGGUUAGCUUCCGCUCAUGAAGUUUAUAUAUCCGAAUUAUUCAAUAUGAAGGUAGUUGUCUUUAGUAUGAAUCAUAAUCCUAACAAACAGAUCCACGUGUUUAUCACUUUGAAAAAAAGGCUAACUAACUAAUUUAUUUUUGUUCCUAACAAUGUAUCAAAUUCAAAUUGAACAAAACGAAUCAAAUUAAGAAAAAGUUUCAAGCAAACCACAAAACUAAUAGAAUAGUCAUGCGGCAAUUAUGAUUACCAAACAUUGAUAAAAAGAACACAAAUAGAAUUGUUUUUAAGUCAAAGUAAGGGAUGAACCUCACAGUAAUGGCCUUUUCGAAUAUAGUAAUAGUGCCUGAAUAAGAACCGAGGCCAGAACUUGACCAGAAAACUUUGAUUGAAAUCACACGAGACCGGAACCGUCGAGCCAAGAACGGAAACUUCGUUGUAUAGCUUGAAUGACAACCUUACCUUUUAACUAGAAUCGGGCGCAACUUGAGCAACCUUAAAUACCAUAACAAUAGAGGGUAGAACGUUCUCUGUGUAGAAGAUGAAAGUGGAAAGAGGAGUGGAGUCCGUCGACAGAGAGGCAGUGACUGGUGAGAGGGUGCUUUCUGGCGAUGGCUGCUUUAGUGAGUUGUGAGGUCUGACGGCUUAGGCGACUGCUGCUCUAGAAGCUAGUGGAGAGAGGCUGCUGGUUGGGUUCUUGUGAAAUGGUAGGACAGUUGUGAGGCAAGGUGUGUUCUUUGGAUAUUGCUAGUUUUUUUAGAGGGAGAGGUCGUUGGGCUGAAGUUUAAUAGAUGGAGAGGAGGGAGCGACGGCGGUAGCUGGUUUAGGUUAAGGGAGAUUAAGGUUCUUUGGUGAUGGUUACGGUUGGGGUCUCUUGGGGUGUCUCUAGGCUUUCUUGUGUUAGGGUGUCUAACAAUAAGAAGAGAAAGGGGUCAUAG